rnacentral:rRNA from 1 species
GAGUUUGAUCCUGGCUCAAACGAACGCUGGCGGCAGGCCUAACACAUGCAAGUCGAACGAUCCUUCGGGAUAGUGGCGCACGGGUGAGUAACACGUGGGGAUCUGCCCUUGGGUACGGAAUAACAUCGGGAAACUGGUGCUAAUACCGUAUAAUGACUCCGGUCCAAAGAUUUAUCGCCCAAGGAUGAACCCGCGCCUGAUUAGCUAGUUGGUGAGGUAAAAGCUCACCAAGGCGACGAUCAGUAGCUGGUCUGAGAGGAUGAUCAGCCACACUGGAACUGAGACACGGUCCAGACUCCUACGGGAGGCAGCAGUGGGGAAUAUUGGACAAUGGGCGCAAGCCUGAUCCAGCCAUGCCGCGUGCGUGAAGAAGGCCUUCGGGUUGUAAAGCGCUUUCAACGGUGAAGAUGAUGACGGUAACCGUAGAAGAAGCUCCGGCUAACUUCGUGCCAGCAGCCGCGGUAAUACGAAGGGAGCGAGCGUUGUUCGGAAUUACUGGGCGUAAAGGGCGUGUAGGCGGACGGUCAAGUUGGGGGUGAAAGCCCGGGGCUCAACCUCGGAAUUGCCUCCAAAACUGAUCGUCUUGAGUCCGGGAGAGGCAUGUGGAAUACCCAGUGGAGAGGUGAAAUUCGUAGAGAUUGGGUAGAACA